GACAGAGGGUGCAAACGUUGUUCGGAAUUACUGGGCGUAAAGCGUGUGUAGGCGGUCCUCUAAGUCGGGUGUGAAAGCCCUGGGCUCAACCCAGGAAGUGCACUCGAAACUGGAGGGCUAGAGUAUCGGAGAGGUUGGUGGAAUUCUCGGUGUAGAGGUGAAAUUCGUAGAUAUCGAGAGGAACACCGGUGGCGAAGGCGGCCAACUGGACGAAUACUGACGCUGAGGAGCGAAAGCGUGGGGAGCGAACAGG
rnacentral:rRNA from 1 species